AAAAACAUCGCCUCUUGCAUAACCACAGUAUAAGAGGUCCCGCCUGCCCAGUGACGACUUAGUUCAACGGCCGCGGUAUUUUGACCGUGCAAAGGUAGCGUAAUCACUUGUCUUUUAAAUGAAGACCUGUAUGAAUGGCAUAACGAGGGCUUAACUGUCUCCUUCCCCCGGUCAAUGAAAUUGAUCUCCCCGUGCAGAAGCGGGGAUAAAACCAUAAGACGAGAAGACCCUAUGGAGCUUUAGACACACAGGUGGCCCAUGUCAAAUAACCCCCGCUAAGGGCCUGAACUAAGUGGAACCUGCCUUGAUGUCUUCGGUUGGGGCGACCAUGGGGAAUACAAAACCCCCACGUGGAAGGGGAGCACACCCCUAAGUUACUUCUUCUCCCGCAAGCCAGAGCAACGGCUCUAACCAGCAGAAAUUCUGACCAAACUGAUCCGGUAAUACCGAUCAACGAACCAAGUUACCCUAGGGAUAACAGCGCAAUCCCCUUUUAGAGCCCAUAUCGACAAGGGGGUUUACGACCUCGAUGUUGGAUCAGGACAUCCUAAUGGUGCAGCCGCUAUUAAGGGUUCGUUUGUUCAACGAUUAAAGUCCUACGUGAUCUGAGU
rnacentral:rRNA from 1 species